rfam:Endozoicomonas elysicola strain DSM 22380 scaffold00001, whole genome shotgun sequence.
AGUCGGUUAGCUCAGUUGGUAGAGCACCACCUUGACAUGGUGGGGGUCGCUGGUUCAAGUCCAGUACCGACUA